rnacentral:rRNA from 1 species
UGGGGUAUAUUGCACAAUGGGCGCAAGCCUGAUGCAGCCAUGCCGCGUGUGUGAAGAAGGCCUUCGGGUUGUAAAGCACUUUCAGCGGGGAGGAAGGCGUUAAGGUUAAUAACCUUGGCGACUGACGUUACCAGCAGAAGAAGCACCGGCUAACUCCGUGCCAGCAGCCGCGGUAAUACGGAGGGUGCAUGCGUUAAUCGGAAUUACUGGGCGUAAAGCGCACGCAGGCGGUCUGUCAAGUCGGGUGUGAAAGCCCCGGGCUCAACCUGGGAACUGCAUUCGAGACUGGCAGGCUAGAGUCUUGUAGAGGGGGGUAGAAUUCCAGGUGUAGCGGUGAAAUGCGUAGAGAUCAGGAGGAAUACCGGUGGCGAAGGCAGCCCCCUGGACAAAGACUGACGCUUAGGUGCGAAAGCGUGGGGAGCAAACAGG